GACGAACGCUGGCGGCGUGCUUAACACAUGCAAGUCGAACGGAAAGGCCCUGCUUGCAGGGUGCUCGAGUGGCGAACGGGUGAGUAACACGUGGGUGAUCUGCCCCUUACUUUGGGAUAAGCCUGGGAAACUGGGUCUAGUACUGGAUAGGACCAUGCUGUAGGUGGUGUGGUGGAAAGAUUAGUUUCGGUAAGGGAUGAGCUCGCGGCCUAUCAGCUUGUUGGUGGGGUAAUGGCCUACCAAGGCGUCGACGGGUAGCCGGCCUGAGAGGGUGGACGGCCACAUUGGGACUGAGAUACGGCCCAGCCUCCUACGGGAGGCAGCAGAGGGGAAUAUUGCACAAUGGGCGCAAGCCUGAUGCAGCGACGCCGCGUGGGGGAUGACGGCCUUCGGGUUGUAAACUCCUUUCAGCCAUGACGAAGCCCUUGUGGUGACGGUAGUGGUAGAAGAAGCACCGGCUAACUACGUG
rnacentral:rRNA from 1 species